GCUUUCGUGGUGUAGUGGUCUGCAUGUUCGACGCGUAACCGAGAGGUCCGUGGUUCGAUUCUCGGCGAAGGCG
rnacentral:tRNA from 1 species